rnacentral:rRNA from 1 species
AGUGCAUGUGGUGGAUGCCUUGGCAGUCAGAGGCGAUGAAAGACGUGAUAGCCUGCGAAAAGCUCCGGGGAGGCGGCAAAUAUCCUUUGAUCCGGAGAUGUCUGAAUGGGGGAACCCACCUACUUUAAGGUAGGUAUUGCAACAUGAAUACAUAGUGUUGCAAGGCGAACGAGGGGAAGUGAAACAUCUCAGUACCCUUAGGAAAAGAAAUCAAUUGAGAUUCCCUCAGUAGCGGCGAGCGAACGGGGAUCAGCCCAUUAAGUUAUGUGUGUUUUAGUGGAACGCUCUGGGAAGUGCGAACGUAGAGGGUGAUAUUCCCGUACACGAAAGGGCACACAUAAUGAUGACGAGUAGGGCGAGGCACGUGAAACCUUGUCUGAAUAUGGGGGGACCAUCCUCCAAGGCUAAAUACUCCUGACUGACCGAUAGUGAACCAGUACCGUGAGGGAAAGGCGAAAAGAACCCCUGUGAGGGGAGUGAAAUAGAUCCUGAAACCGCAUGCAUACAAGCAGUGGGAGCACCUUCGUGGUGUGACUGCGUACCUUUUGUAUAAUGGGUCAGCGACUUAUAUUCAGUAGCGAGGUUAACCGUAUAGGGGAGCCGUAGAGAAAUCGAGUCUUAAUAGGGCGUUUAGUUGCUGGGUAUAGACCCGAAACCAGGCGAUCUAUCCAUGAGCAGGUUGAAGGUUGGGUAACACUAACUGGAGGACCGAACCCACUGUCGUUGAAAAGCCAGGGGAUGACUUGUGGAUAGGGGUGAAAGGCUAAUCAAGCCUGGUGAUAGCUGGUUCUCCCCGAAAGCUAUUUAGGUAGCGCCUCGGACGAAUACCAUAGGGGGUAGAGCACUGUUUCGGCUAGGGGGUCAUCCCGACUUACCAAACCGAUGCAAACUCCGAAUACCUAUGAGUACUAUCCGGGAGACAGACUGCGGGUGCUAACGUCCGUAGUCAAGAGGAAAACAAUCCAGACCGCCAGCUAAGGCCCCAAAAUCAUAGUUAAGUGGGAAACGAUGUGGGAAGGCAUAGACAGCUAGGAGGUUGGCUUAGAAGCAGCCACCCUUUAAAGAAAGCGUAAUAGCUCACUAGUCGAGUCGGCCUGCGCGGAAGAUGUAACGGGGCUAAAACUAUGUGCCGAAGCUGCGGAUGUAUACUUUGUAUACGUGGUAGGGGAGCGUUCUGUAAGCCGAUGAAGGUGUGUUGAGAAGCAUGCUGGAGGUAUCAGAAGUGCGAAUGCUGACGUGAGUAACGACAAAACGGGUGAAAAACCCGUUCGCCGAAAGACCAAGGGUUCCAGUCCAACGUUAAUCGGGGCUGGGUGAGUCGACCCCUAAGGCGAGGCCGAAAGGCGUAGUCGAUGGGAAAAUGGUUAAUAUUCCAUUACUUCUGUGUAAUGCGAUGAGAGGACGGAGAAGGCUAAAUCAGCCUGGCGUUGGUUGUCCAGGUGAAAGGAUGUAGGCAUGUAUCUUAGGCAAAUCCGGGGUACUCUAUGCUGAGAUCUGAUAGCAAGCUGUACUUGUACAGCGAAGUGGUUGAUGCCAUGCUUCCAGGAAAAGUCUCUAAGCUUCAGUUACACAGGAAUCGUACCCGAAACCGACACAGGUGGUCAGGUCGAGUAGACCAAGGCGCUUGAGAGAACUCUGCUGAAGGAACUAGGCAAAAUGGUACCGUAACUUCGGGAGAAGGUACGCUGUUGUUGGUGAUGGAACUCGCUUCCUGAGCUGACGACAGCCGCAGAAACCAGGCCGCUGCAACUGUUUAUUAAAAACAUAGCACUCUGCAAACACGAAAGUGGACGUAUAGGGUGUGAUGCCUGCCCGGUGCUGGAAGGUUAAUUGAUGGGGUUAGCGUAAGCGAAGCUCUUGAUCGAAGCCCCAGUAAACGGCGGCCGUAACUAUAACGGUCCUAAGGUAGCGAAAUUCCUUGUCGGGUAAGUUCCGACCUGCACGAAUGGCAUAAUGAUGGCGGCGCUGUCUCCAGCAGAGGCUCAGUGAAAUCGAAAUCGCUGUGAAGAUGCAGUGUACCCGCGGCUAGACGGAAAGACCCCGUGAACCUUUACUGCAGCUUGACACUGAACUUUGACCUUACUUGUGUAGGAUAGGUGGGAGGCUUUGAAGCUGGAACGCUAGUUCCAGUGGAGCCGUCCUUGAAAUACCACCCUGGUAAUGUUGAGGUUCUAACUCUGUCCCGUGAUCCGGGACGAGGACCGUGUCUGGUGGGUAGUUUGACUGGGGCGGUCUCCUCCUAAAGAGUAACGGAGGAGUACGAAGGUGCGCUCAGCGUGGUCGGAAAUCACGCGUAGAGUAUAAAGGCAAAAGCGCGCUUAACUGCGAGACCCACAAGUCGAGCAGGUACGAAAGUAGGUCUUAGUGAUCCGGUGGUUCUGUAUGGAAGGGCCAUCGCUCAACGGAUAAAAGGUACUCUGGGGAUAACAGGCUGAUACCGCCCAAGAGUUCAUAUCGACGGCGGUGUUUGGCACCUCGAUGUCGGCUCAUCUCAUCCUGGGGCUGAAGCAGGUCCCAAGGGUAUGGCUGUUCGCCAUUUAAAGAGGUACGCGAGCUGGGUUUAGAACGUCGUGAGACAGUUCGGUCCCUAUCUACCGUGGGCGCUGGAAAUUUGAGAGGAUCUGCUCCUAGUACGAGAGGACCAGAGUGGACGAACCUCUGG